GACGAACGCUGGCGGCGUGCUUAACACAUGCAAGUCGAGCGGAAAGGCCCUGCUUUUGUGGGGUGCUCGAGUGGCGAACGGGUGAGUAACACGUGAGUAACCUGCCCUUGACUUUGGGAUAACUUCAGGAAACUGGGGCUAAUACCGGAUAGGAGCUCCUGCUGCAUGGUGGGGGUUGGAAAGUUUCGGCGGUUGGGGAUGGACUCGCGGCUUAUCAGCUUGUUGGUGGGGUAGUGGCUUACCAAGGCUUUGACGGGUAGCCGGCCUGAGAGGGUGACCGGCCACAUUGGGACUGAGAUACGGCCCAGACGCCUACGGGAGGCAGCAGUGGGGAAUAUUGCACAAUGGGCGGAAGCCUGAGGCAGCAACGCCGCGUGCGGGAUGACGGCCUUCGGGUUGUAAACCGCUUUCGCCUGUGACGAAGCGUGAGUGACGGUAAUGGGUAAAGAAGCACCGGCUAACUACGUG
rnacentral:rRNA from 1 species